rnacentral:rRNA from 1 species
CGCGGCCUAUCAGCUUGUUGGUGGGGUAAUGGCCCACCAAGGCUCAGACGGGUAGCUGGUCUGAGAGGACGAUCAGCCACACUGGGACUAAGACACGGCCCAGACUCUUACGGGAGGCAGCAGUGGGGAAUCUUGCGCAAUGGGCGAAAGCCUGACGCAGCAACGCCGCGUGGGGGAUGACGGCUUUCGGGUUGUAAACCGCUUUCAGCAGGGACGAAAAUGACGGUACCUGCAGAAGAAGUCCCGGCUAACUACGUGCCAGCAGCCGCGGUAAUACGUAGGGGACAAGCGUUGUCCGGAUUCAUUGGGCGUAAAGAGCUCGUAGGCGGUUCAGUAAGUUGGGUGUGAAAGCUCCGGGCUCAACCCGGAGAGGCCACUCAAUACUGCUGUGACUAGAGUCCAGUAGAGGAGCGUGGAACUCCUGGUGUAGCGGUGAAAUGCGCAGAUAUCAGGAAGAACACCGGCAGCGAAGGCGGCGCUCUGGGCUGGUACUGACGCUGAGGAGCGAAAGCAUGGGUAGCAAACAGGAUUAGAUACCCUGGUAGUCCAUGCCGUAAACGUUGGGCACUAGGUGUGGGGAGGAGUCAACCCUUUCCGUGCCGUAGCAAACGCAUUAAGUGCCCCGCCUGGGGAGUACGG